AUUGAACGCUGGCGGCAUGCCUUACACAUGCAAGUCGAACGGCAGCACGGGUGCUUGCACCUGGUGGCGAGUGGCGAACGGGUGAGUAAUAUAUCGGAACGUACCUUAUUGUGGGGGAUAACGCAGCGAAAGCUGUGCUAAUACCGCAUAAUCCCUAAGGGGGAAAGCGGGGGACCGUAAGGCCUCGCGCAAUUAGAGCGGCCGAUACCGGAUUAGCUAGUUGGUGAGGUAAAGGCUCACCAAGGCAACGAGCAGUAGCUGGUCUGAGAGGCCGAUCAGCCACACUGGGACUGAGACCCGGCCCAGACUCCUACGGGAGGCAGCAGUGGGGAAUUUUGGACAAUGGGGGCAACCCUGAUCCAGCAAUGCCGCGUGAGUGAAGAAGGCCUUCGGGUUGUAAAGCUCUUUCGUCAGGGAAGAAACAGCAGCUCUAACACAGUUUGCGAAUGACGGUACCUGAAGAAUAAGCACCGGCUAACUACGUGCCAGCAGCCGCCGUAA
rnacentral:rRNA from 1 species